rnacentral:rRNA from 1 species
AGCGAACGCUGGCGGCAGGCCUAACACAUGCAAGUCGAACGAACCCUUCGGGGUUAGUGGCGGACGGGUGAGUAACACGUGGGAACGUGCCUUUAGGUUCGGAAUAACUCAGGGAAACUUGUGCUAAUACCGAAUGUGCCCUUCGGGGGAAAGAUUUAUCGCCUUUAGAGCGGCCCGCGUCUGAUUAGCUAGUUGGUGAGGGAAUGGCUCACCAAGGCUACGAUCAGUAGCUGGUCUGAGAGGAUGACCAGCCACAUUGGGACUGAGACACGGCCCAAACUCCUACGGGAGGCAGCAGUGGGGAAGCUUGCGCAAUGGGCGAAAGCCUGACGCAGCCAUGCCGCGUGGAUGAUGAAGGUCUUAGGAUUGUAAAUCCUUUCACCGGUGAAGAUAAUGACUGUAGCCGGAGAAGAAGCCCCGGCUAACUUCGUGCCAGCCGCCGCCGUAAUAC